UACGUAGGUGACCAGCGUUGUCCGGAUUUACUGGGCGUAAAGAGCGCGCAGGCGGUCGUUCAAGUCGAGUGUGAAAGCCCCCGGCUCAACUGGGGAGGGUCACUCGAUACUGAUCGACUUGAAGGCAGGAGAGGGAAGCGGAAUUCCCGGUGUAGUGGUGAAAUGCGUAGAUAUCUGGAGGAAUACCGGUGGCGAAGGCGGCAUCCUGGACCGGCAUUGACGCUGAGUGAGCGAAAGCCAGGGGAGCAAACGGG
rnacentral:rRNA from 1 species